GUAGGUGGCAAGCGUUGUCCGGGAAUUAUUGGGGCGUAAAGCGCGCGCAGGCGGUUCGUUUAAGUCUGAUGUGAAAGCCCACGGGCUCAACCGUGGAGGGUCAUUGGAAACUGGAGAACUUGAGUACAGAAGAGGAAAGCGGAAUUCCACGUGUAGCGGUGAAAUGCGUAGAGAUGUGGAGGAACACCAGUGGCGAAGGCGGCUUUCUGGUCUGUAACUGACGCUGAGGCGCGAAAGCGUGGGGAGCAAACAGGAUUAGAUACCCUGGUAGUCCACGCCGUAAACGAUGAGUGCUAAGUGUUAGGGGGUUUCCGCCCCUUAGUGCUGCAGCUAACGCAUUAAGCACUCCGCCUGGGGAGUACGGCCGCAAAUGCUG
rnacentral:rRNA from 1 species